UACGUAGGGAGCGAGCGUUGUCCGGAUUUAUUGGGCGUAAAGAGCUCGUAGGCGGUUUGGUAAGUCGGGUGUGAAAGCUCCGGGCUCAACUCGGAGAGGUCACUCGAUACUGCCAUGACUGGAGUCCGGUAGGGGGGUGUGGAAUUCCCAGUGUAGCGGUGAAAUGCGCAGAUAUCGGGAGGAACACCGGUGGCGAAGGCGGUUCUCUGGGCCUUACCUGACGCUGAGGAGCGAAAGCGUGGGGAGCGAACAGG
rnacentral:rRNA from 1 species